GAUGAAGAACGCAGUGAAAUGCGAUAAGUAAUGUGAAUUGCAGAAUUCAGUGAAUCAUCGAAUCUUUGAACGCACAUUGCGCCCCCUGGUAUUCCGGGGGGCAUGCCUGUUCGAGCGUCAUUUCACCACUUAAGCCUCGCUUGGUAUUGGGCGACGCGGUCCGCCGCGCGCCUCAAAUCGACCGGCUGGGUCUUUCGUCCCCUCAGCGUUGUGGAAACUAUUCGCUAAAGGGUGCCGCGGGAGGCCACGCCGUAAAACAACCCCAUUUCUAAGGUUGACCUCGGAUCAGGUAGGGAUACCCGCUGAACUUAAGCAUAUCAAUAAGCGGAGGA
rnacentral:misc_RNA from 1 species